rnacentral:lncRNA from 1 species
GUGGGGUAUUUACAAUGAUAAGUCUCUUGACUUUGCUGCAGAGGAUGCAGUCCCAGAAGGAGAGACCUGCUUACCUUCUUCGAUAAUGGUGGCCAUGUCAGAAAACAAUAUCAACUACAUCUCUGCACCCUCUGCUGCCUAAGACAGAAUAAGGGGAGGGAAACAAGAGCAACUAUGAAAGAUAUAAAGAAUAUGAUAUGAUUCUAUAAACACUCCACCUUUCAACACCUAUCAGUAGCUAACCAUAGCAUCCUCUUGAUCAUGAGGUUCCCUGUAGUUUUAUCCCUUGAUUAUAAAAUCUAUAGCAGCCUUAACCACUUAUUUUCCCAUUGUCCGUUUCUGA